GAUUGUAAUCUAUAGAGGCGUUUUCUGUGCUGGACCGUGUCCAAGUCCCUUGGAACAGGGUAUCAAAGAGGGUGACAAUCCCGUACUUGACACGACAACCAGUGCUCUGUGAUACGUCUUCUACGAGUCGAGUUGUUUGGGAAUGCAGCUCAAAAUGGGUGGUGAAUUCCAUCUAAAGCUAAAUAUUGGCGAGAGACCGAUAGCGAACAAGUACCGUGAGGGAAAGAUGAAAAGCACUUUGGAAAGAGAGUUAAACAGUAUGUGAAAUUGUUGAAAGGGAAACGAUGGAGGUCAGUCGUGUCUGUGGGAUUCAGCCGUCUCUGGCGGUGUACUUCCCACAGACGGGUCAACAUCAGUUUUGGCUGGCGGAUAAAGGCAGGAGGAAGGUGGCACCCCCGGGUGUGUUAUAGCCUCUUGUUGCAUACGCUGGCUGAGACUGAGGAAUGCAGCUCGCCUUUAUGGCCGGGGUCGCCCACGUCGA
rnacentral:rRNA from 1 species